UUCGUUUUGAAAGAAUACAUUUUCCUUCAAAUUGUGUACAUGUUGACCAUUCCUGAUUUUUUAUUGGUAAGGGAACAUGAUGGUCAAGUUUAUAGUUUGUUUCGAAUAUUUGAUGUAUCUCUUGAGAUUAAGUUAUGUAUAUACUUCAACCAUGCAGUCCAAGAAAAUAGUUUCCCUUAUGUUUUAAAAAACAUAUACAGAACUUCAAAAACCCGUUAAUCUAUAAAGAAUAAAAAUAAUAAAUAAAAAAGAGCUCCAACUUCGUACUUUAUUUUGGCUUUUUAAUUUUUUGGAUUCGAGCGUCACUGAGGGGUCUUUUGUAGACGAAACGCGCGUCUGGCGAAAAAAAAACAAAUUUUAUCCUGGUAUCUAUGAUGAGUUUUGUUUUAUAUAUAUAUAUCAAUUUGAAUUAUAGACUCUCACUGGAUACUUUUUUGUAAGCCUAUCACGUACACCGUCAUUUUAAAUCAAAUGAUUUCAAUUAUUGUUUGGCUGUUAUCCAUUAGAAUGUUUUACACACAGCAGCACAGUACGGUAUAAAAUUUGCUCCUAAGCUCAGCCGAAAACAUUUUCUGUAUAUACAUAUACCAUCACGUAAUCAAUUUUGACUUGCUUUGUAUUUCAAUAGCUGUUAGUUCUUAUGCGAAUUGAAAUCAAUUUGAAUUAGAUUCUUGUCAGCGGGCGUCUGGCGUAUACUAAAUGUAUUCCUGGUAUCUAUGAUGAGUUUAUUUGUUUAUUAAAAUUUAAUGUUUUUGUUUCUUUUUUUAUUGCAACCGGCCGAAUAUUGAUAUUUGUUCACACUUACUAAUUUUUCAAUAUCAAGAUGAAAACGACAAAAAAAUUUAAAUUGAGUGGUAAUGAAAAGAUUUUAAGAACCUAAAGCAAGGUGGUAGAUUCACUUACAAAAGUAGGCUCUUUAAUAUGAAGCAGUCAGAAUUAUAGAGUAGGCUUAUCUCAAAUUUAACCAUUUCAUUAAUCAUGGAAGACAUCAUUACAAUCGAAAAAGACAACUGACGAAUAUGGUACAAAAAAGUCUCUUAAUUCAGUUUCCAUCCUGCAAACGUUGUUUUUGUGCCAUACCUAUCGUUACUUUGGAUACUUGUACUUGCUUGUUGAGAAGAACG
rnacentral:lncRNA from 1 species